CAAAAAUAGAAAAAAAGGUAAAGGAUAGGGAACUUGGGCGAGACGUAAUUCGCCUGAAAAUUUUGGGCUGAGACGAUGGGUGCCUGGCGUAAAGAGUGGGUUCUGGUGGCGUCGUUGCAGAAGUGGGUGACUCGCUUCGAGAGGUGUAUGAGAUCUUUUGGUUUGACGCAGAAGUUGCAGCAAGCCUGCGACUGGGGUCUGCACGGCAUCCAUUGUCCACCAUACUCUUGACUCGUUCAUCAACUGCGACGUUGGUUUUCUCGGCAGGUUGGGGUAUUGAAGACUAUGGCGUCCAACGUAUGGCAAAAUUUGAUGGCUGUGACCUUUUCAGGUCUUAAGCCCUACGUGGAGGCAGGCGCAGGGUGGCUGGCGCAAGUGAUGGAGGCCAUGAGAGUGCUGAUGAUGGUGCACAAGCCCACGAGGCAAGGCGUGAAAACAUCCGCUCACGUCACUCAUAAAAUUAAAAUGGCUAGUGUGCAGAUGUCUAUGGACGAGGUGUCAAAAACUUAUAAAAUCACUCCAAUUCGAAGACUGUAACAGAUAACCUUGAGGACUCGUGUAUAGAAGAAGUAAAUUUGCACUAGAGGUCGCGAAAGGAUUACCGAAUUGGUUACUUCUCGUUUUCUGUACAAACCAAACGAUUUAUGCACUUGGUUUUAAUCGGGAAUCCUGAGUGGGUGCCGGUAUUCACCGGAUUUGUAUCCCAUUUAGCAUGUACAGUUUUGUGACUAUUAAGGCCUCCUUUAUCAAGGUCUUUCUGAUCAAUACUUUCUCAUGAGAUCAAA